rnacentral:rRNA from 1 species
AAACGAUGUCGACUUGGAGGCUGUUCCCUUGAGGAGUGGCUUCCGGAGCUAACGCGUUAAGUCGACCGCCUGGGGAGUACGGCCGCAAGGUUAAAACUCAAAUGAAUUGACGGGGGCCCGCACAAGCGGUGGAGCAUGUGGUUUAAUUCGAUGCAACGCGAAGAACCUUACCUGGCCUUGACAUCCACGGAAUUCGGCAGAGAUGCCUUAGUGCCUUCGGGAACCGUGAGACAGGUGCUGCAUGGCUGUCGUCAGCUCGUGUUGUGAAAUGUUGGGUUAAGUCCCGCAACGAGCGCAACCCUUAUCCUUUGUUGCCAGCGAUUCGGUCGGGAACUCAAAGGAGACUGCCGGUGAUAAACCGGAGGAAGGUGGGGAUGACGUCAAGUCAUCAUGGCCCUUACGGCCAGGGCUACACACGUGCUACAAUGGCGCAUACAAAGAGAAGCGAACUCGCGAGAGCAAGCGGACCUCAUAAAGUGCGUCGUAGUCCGGAUCGGAGUCUGCAACUCGACUCCGUGAAGUCGGAAUCGCUAGUAAUCGUGGAUCAGAAUGCCACGGUGAAUACGUUCCCGGGCCUUGUACACACCGCCCGUCACACCAUGGGAGUGGGUUGCAAAAGAAGUAGGUAGCUUAACCUUCGGGAGGGCGCUACCACUUUGUAUGUUUUGCU